rnacentral:rRNA from 1 species
UACGUAGGGUGCAAGCGUUGUCCGGAAUUAUUGGGCGUAAAGAGCUCGUAGGCGGUCUGUCGCGUCGGCUGUGAAAUCCCGGAGCUCAACUCCGGGUCUGCAGUCGAUACGGGCAAACUGGAGUACUGCAGGGGAGACUGGAAUUCCUGGUGUAGCGGUGAAAUGCGCAGAUAUCAGGAGGAACACCGAUGGCGAAGGCAGGUCUCUGGGCCACUACUGACGCUGAGAAGCGAAAGCAUGGGGAGCGAACAGG